rnacentral:lncRNA from 1 species
UGCCGCCUCUCGCCCCCACGUCUCUCGGUGAUGCUGUUCAACCCGUACCGUCGGGAAGCCCCAGGUGAUUUAUUUUAACACACGGCGACGCUGGUUGGCGGCUCAGAGGUGAGCGCGCUCGGUGCCGCCGGGCCGCCCCGCGCCGGCUUCUCCUGCGCCCCCGGCGCCCGACCCCCCCCACCGCCCAGCUGAGGUCUGCGGGGAGAAGGAAGGGCGAAGCCGAUACCUGUUUUUCCUCUUAUUUAUGCUCCCCCUCUCCUGCUGGUCUCCAAGAGCUGCGUCUCCGCCGCUGCCCUGCCAACCCCUGCCCUGUGUCUCAGGCGCCCGCGCGCGCAGGGCAGAGGACGAAGCAAGGUGACACCCUGCUGGUUCGUCGGGUCGGAGAGGCCGGGGUGUCCCCGGGCACCGGCACGGCAGCAGAGCCUUUGCCACCUCCUCGGUGGGGAGAGGCGGUAGCAGCCGCACGCGCAGCCCCAGCCAAGGGGCUCCCACGUGAAAGCCACGUGUCUCAGUUCCCUGCCUGCCGACAUCCCCACGUGCCGGGUGUGCGAGAGCAUCCUCGCGUGCCGGGGCUGUGUCGGGGAGAGGCCAUCCAUGCGGGGCUGCGCCAGGGACCGCCGAGGCCCGCAGGACGGGUACGUCCCCGCUCCUGGCUCACGCGGGACAGCAGCGCUGCGGGCUGCGUCCUGCAGCUCCUCGCAGUUGCAAGCGGGCAGAGGGCCGAGCGAAGGCCAGCAGGGCCGGGACAGCUCCAGCGGGUAUCGCCAAGCCCCAGCCGAGGGCUGUUGUCUCCGCUCUUGCAGGCGCUAGAGGUGCCUGGCAGCCCUGGGGCAGCCGCAGCACAGAGGCUGUGAGUUCCGCAGCCGGCUCGCGCCUGGGAUGUCGAAGCGUUGCUGCAGCGGCACCGAGAUACUCGGUGCCGGGGGAUGAGGACGGAUCCUGGGACGCUUACGGCGCAGGCCCUGCUGCUGCACCCCUCUGUGCCAGCACAGCGCUGCCAGCUCCAAAUCCCCCGCGGCAGGGCAGGAGCGGG